ensembl:lncRNA
AGUUCCAUUAGUUUCACAGUUCUCUUCACUCAGUCUGCGAUUGUCCUGUGCUGAAUGAAGAGCUCGGCUCUUGGUGUCUUUAUUUAUACCAAAGUCUGUGGACGCGGAGUUUUCAGAAACACUACUACACUCAGGGAUUUGAGUUAAAGAGUGAAGAGAAGAAUUGUCCUAAACCUCAGGUGAGAUUUGUAUGGAGUUCAUUUUGUGCCAGAAGUUUCAAGUAAAAUAAUAAAACCCCCAAGCAGAAUAUUAAUUAUCCAAAUGUGAUUUUUAUUGUAAAUGCGAUGUUUUUGAGAAUCAAAUCAAAAUGCAAUAUUAAAAAAGAGGACCACUAAAUACACCGUAUUAUUUUGCUAUGAUUUUGUGGACGCAGUUACACCCCGCCCCCCCCCCCCCCUUUCUAUGCUAUUGGUCAACUGAUUUAGAAGUGGGAGGUGGUCUGAAGGUUAGCCACGCCCACUCAAUUCACGUUCAAGUACAUAGGUUUUGGUGCGUAGCAAAAGGCUGCCCUCGGAGGACCUGUUCCAGGGUAGGAAGGCAUCAUGGCACGUCUGACUCCAAAGUCAGCUUCAUUUCCUGUCUCGUGAGACCUUCAUUGGAUCGAUUUUUGAAGGCAGCGUAGAUUAUUUUUCUGGUCGAGCUUAGAAAAAUAAAAUGGCGUCGGAGAAUGUGUUGGGAGGGCAGUUUUUGUACAACUGAAAGUUUUAUUUUUUGACAACUUUGAUUGCGUUUGGCGUUUCUACUGAGAAAACUCUUCGUGAAGGUCUUCAAGUAUCAUCAUACACUUAAUACAUAACUGUAUAAGCUCGUUGUUUCCCAUUUUUAUUAGAUGAAAUCCUACACUGUAUACACCAGGUGGCGGUAAUGAGCAGCUGGUAGCGUAGCAACGACAUUACCUUAUGUUGCCUCAAGUAGAAAGUAUGCUUCACUUUUUACGCAUAGUUGUAGGAACUAGGAACAGCGUACAGUACGCGUGACGCAAAUUUCAUCAUCAGCAGAGUCUACCCAUACUGUACGCGGCCCAAUUUUACAUUCGCAUUUAAUUCUUUUGCACUAUUUAGUUGUUCCACAAGGUGGCAACAGUGACCCAGGGCUGUUGAAUCUCAAGGUACUUGGAGAGAAAUUGAAUAAACAGAAACGAGUGCAGGUUAGAAAUUACCCGCAUUUGUAUAAUUCUAGUCUUAAAGCGUAUAAGGAUUUGUAUAUGGGUGCUAAUUGUGGCGAGAGAUUGCCCAGGCAUUCUUCAUGAUGAUGUGAUUCUUCUUUGUUGUCGUCCUUCACACCAAAAGACCUGCUUUACUGCUCUGUACUGACUCUUGUAGGCCACUAUGGGUAGUACAAGUUGUCGACCGCCUGUGUACUUGUACAUGUCAAAUGGAGAAUAGUUUGAAAGGCUAUGACAGAGGCUUCAGAAACCUGUCCAAAACUGUUUCCGGAGGUGCCUUUGUGUGCAAACGCUGCCUUUGAAGUCAUUGCCUGAUGGGGCAGCGAGGCAACAAGUCAGCUGCCUAAGUUUCCGGAUGCAGUGAAAACGUAUGCAAGUACUGGGACAUACUCGCACGUCAUGUAACAGAAAAGUUUGUCCGCAUUUCAUUUGCACGUCUCUAAUAUACGUGUCACCGACGUUACGCUCGUCCGCCAUGUUUGCAGGUUGUAUUCUUGAAGCAAACCAUCAUGGAAUGCACAAUAUUAGCUGAAAUUGUCCACGUAUCCAUACAUCCUCUUAAAAUCUACCAGGUACCUUUUGGGAUACUCAUUUCAACAUGCUACGAUUUGGGACACACUAAAUCUAAUCUCGGAUACUAUCUAGGACGGACGGUAGACGAAUUGGGACGCAGCAUCUGAGUAAGAAGCCAACUUCAGCCUGGUCACCUAGCUAAUGUGAGCUGUUGAAACUGCUGCUCAGCAGGAAUGAAGACACUUUCAUGAUUUAGAAAUAUAUGUAGAUGCAUCAACAACCAAUUCAGUGGCUACUCAUUAUUUUUGUAACACGAGUAAUGUAAUAUAGAGAGGGCAGGGCUAACUUUCAGAGCCACACCCACAAGGCCAGAAGGCUGCCUUCUGCACCCCCCCAUGUGCCAAAAGUCAGAAGCAGAAGGGUGAAUACAGAACAAGAAAAACUGCAGAAGCAAAAUCCAUACACGAAAAAAAUCAAAGAAUGAACGUGUGAAUGAGUAGUAAUCAUUAAAAAAAAAUUAAAAUACUAAUUACAUUUUGAUGAUGAGUAUUUUUGCUUUUAUAUCUAAAUCAUGUCCAUAGAUUUGUUCACAGCAGCAUCUCUAUUUAAUCUGGGAAUGAAAUGAUCUCGUCACAGUGGCCUGUUUAUAUAUAUAUAUAUAUAUAU